rnacentral:rRNA from 1 species
UGGGGGAUAUUGCACAAUGGGCGAAAGCCUGAUGCAGCGACGCCGCGUGGGGGAUGAAGGCUUUCGGGUUGUAAACCUCUUUCGCUAUCGAACAAGGCCCGCUUAGGGUGGGUUGAGGGUAGGUGGAGAAGAAGCGCCGGCUAACUACGUGCCAGCAGCCGCGGUAAUACGUAGGGCGCGAGCGUUGUCCGGACUUAUUGGGCGUAAAGGGCUUGUAGGCGGCUUGUUGCGCCUGCUGUGAAAACGCGGGGCUUAACUUCGCGCGUGCAGUGGGUACGGGCAGGCUUGAGUGUGGUAGGGGUGACUGGAAUUCCAGGUGUAGCGGUGGAAUGCGCAGAUAUCUGGAGGAACACCGAUGGCGAAGGCAGGUCACUGGGCCAUUACUGACGCUGAGGAGCGAAAGCAUGGGUAGCGAACAGG